rnacentral:rRNA from 1 species
GGGACUGUAUCCAGAGUACCACGAGACACGUGAAACCUUGUGGGAAGCAGGGGGGACCACCCUCCAAGCCAAAAUACUGAUAUCGACCGAUAGCGCAUAGUACCGUGAGGGAAAGGUGAAAAGAACCCCUGGCGGGGAGUGAAAGAGAACCUGAAACCGUAUGUCUACAAACAGUCGAAGUCUGUAUAUAUAUCAGGACGACGGCGUGCCUAUUGAAGAAUGAACCGACGAGUUACUGUUGCUAGCGAGGUUAAGUGGAAAACAUGGAGCCGCAGCGAAAGCGAGUCUGAACAGGGCGUUCAGUUAGUAAUAGUAGACCCGAAACCGUAGUGAUCUAUCCAUGGCCAGGUUGAAGCACAGGUAAAAUUGUGUGGAGGACCGAACUCGUGAGCGUUGAAAAGCUUUGGGAUGAGUUGUGGAUAGGGGUGAAAUGCCAAUCGAACACGGAGAUAGCUGGUUCUCCCCGAAAUAGCUUUAGGGCUAGCCUCGAGGUAGAGAGUAUAGGCGGUAGAGCACUGAUCGGGCUAGGGGCCAUACCGGUUACCGAACCUAGUCAAACUACGAAUGGCUAUACUUAUACUCGGGAGUCAGACAGUGAAUGAUAAGGUCCAUUGUCAAGAGGGAAACAGCCCAGAACACCGACUAAGGUCCCCAAUGUUACACUAAGUGGCGAAGGAUGUGGAAUUUCCAAAACAACCAGGAUGUUGGCUUAGAAGCAGCCACCAUUUAAAGAGUGCGUAAUAGCUCACUGGUCGAGAGACUCUGCGCCGAAAAUGUCCGGGGCUAAAGUGUAAAACCGAAGUCGUGUCAUAUGCAGCAAUGUAUAUGGGUAGGGGAGCGUUCUCAUCGGGCUGAAGCAGUACCGUAAGGAGUUGUGGACUGAUGAGAAGUGAGAAUGUCGGUAUGAGUAGCGAAAAGAAUGGUGAGAAUCCAUUCCACCGAAAGCCUAAGGGUUCCUGAGCAACGAUCGUCGUCUCAGGGUAAGUCGGGACCUAAGCCGAGGCGGAAAAGCGUAGGCGAUGGACAACAGGUUGAAAUUCCUGUACCGGUGUGAAUCGUUUGAUCGAUGGAGUGACACAGUAAGGUAGGUCAGCACGCGAUUGGAAGAGCGUGUUUAAGCAGGUAGGUUGAGCUAUAGGCAAAUCCGUAGCUCUAAAAGCUGAGAUGUGAUGACGAGUGACUAGCAAUAGUCGCGAAGUGAUUGAUCCUACACUGUCGAGAAAAGCUUCUAGGUAGAGACACAUCGCCCGUACCAAAACCGACACAGGUAGGCGGGGAGAGAAUCCUAAGGUGCGCGGGAAAACCCUCGUUAAGGAACUCGGCAAAAUGCCUCCGUAACUUCGGGAAAAGGAGGACUCAUGUAGUGUGAAG